rnacentral:lncRNA from 1 species
GCCUAUGAGCUUUUACGAAAGCCCGGGCUUUUCUCUCAUCCAGUGAGUGAAAUCUUUUGAAUUCAAAAGCCUAUUGAAACUUUCCUUGCUUUAAGGCCUAUGACCACCUAUUAGGUUUACUUUACUAGGUCUCCUUCAUUCCUUUAUUCAAUUCACUAUGUAACCUUUAUACAAUUCACUAUGUAACAAAGUUGAUAAGCCUACUCAAUCC